GGGUUGUGAGGUUAAGCGACUAAGCGUACACGGUGGAUGCCCUGGCAGUCAGAGGCGAUGAAGGACGUGCUAAUCUGCGAUAAGCGUCGGUGAGGUGAUAUGAACCGUUAUAACCGGCGAUUUCCGAAUGGGGAAACCCAGUGUGUUUCGACACACUAUCAUUAACUGAAUCCAUAGGUUAAUGAGGCGAACCGGGGGAACUGAAACAUCUAAGUACCCCGAGGAAAAGAAAUCAACCGAGAUUCCCCCAGUAGCGGCGAGCGAACGGGGAGGAGCCCAGAGCCUGAAUCAGUGUGUGUGUUAGUGGAAGCGUCUGGAAAGGCGUGCGAUACAGGGUGACAGCCCCGUACACAAAAAUGCACAUAUUGUGAGCUCGAUGAGUAGGGCGGGACACGUGGUAUCCUGUCUGAAUAUGGGGGACCAUCCUCCAAGGCUAAAUACUCCUGACUGACCGAUAGUGAACCAGUACCGUGAGGGAAAGGCGAAAAGAACCCCGGCGAGGGGAGUGAAAAAGAACCUGAAACCGUGUACGUACAAGCAGUGGGAGCCUCUUUAUGGGGUGACUGCGUACCUUUUGUAUAAUGGGUCAGCGACUUAUAUUCUGUAGCAAGGUUAACCGAAUAGGGGAGCCGAAGGGAAACCGAGUCUUAACUGGGCGUUAAGUUGCAGGGUAUAGACCCGAAACCCGGUGAUCUAGCCAUGGGCAGGUUGAAGGUUGGGUAACACUAACUGGAGGACCGAACCGACUAAUGUUGAAAAAUUAGCGGAUGACUUGUGGCUGGGGGUGAAAGGCCAAUCAAACCGGGAGAUAGCUGGUUCUCCCCGAAAGCUAUUUAGGUAGCGCCUCGUGAAUUCAUCUCCGGGGGUAGAGCACUGUUUCGGCAAGGGGGUCAUCCCGACUUACCAACCCGAUGCAAACUGCGAAUACCGGAGAAUGUUAUCACGGGAGACACACGGCGGGUGCUAACGUCCGUCGUGAAGAGGGAAACAACCCAGACCGCCAGCUAAGGUCCCAAAGUCAUGGUUAAGUGGGAAACGAUGUGGGAAGGCCCAGACAGCCAGGAUGUUGGCUUAGAAGCAGCCAUCAUUUAAAGAAAGCGUAAUAGCUCACUGGUCGAGUCGGCCUGCGCGGAAGAUGUAACGGGGCUAAACCAUGCACCGAAGCUGCGGCAGCGACACUAUGUGUUGUUGGGUAGGGGAGCGUUCUGUAAGCCUGUGAAGGUGGCCUGUGAGGGUUGCUGGAGGUAUCAGAAGUGCGAAUGCUGACAUAAGUAACGAUAAAGCGGGUGAAAAGCCCGCUCGCCGGAAGACCAAGGGUUCCUGUCCAACGUUAAUCGGGGCAGGGUGAGUCGACCCCUAAGGCGAGGCCGAAAGGCGUAGUCGAUGGGAAACAGGUUAAUAUUCCUGUACUUGGUGUUACUGCGAAGGGGGACGGAGAAGGCUAUGUUGGCCGGGCGACGGUUGUCCCGGUUUAAGCGUGUAGGCUGGUUUUCCAGGCAAAUCCGGAAAACCAAGGCUGAGGCGUGAUGACGAGGCACUACGGUGCUGAAGCGACAAAUGCCCUGCUUCCAGGAAAAGCCUCUAAGCAUCAGGUAACAUCAAAUCGUACCCCAAACCGACACAGGUGGUCAGGUAGAGAAUACCAAGGCGCUUGAGAGAACUCGGGUGAAGGAACUAGGCAAAAUGGUGCCGUAACUUCGGGAGAAGGCACGCUGAUAUGUAGGUGAAGCGACUUGCUCGUGGAGCUGAAAUCAGUCGAAGAUACCAGCUGGCUGCAACUGUUUAUUAAAAACACAGCACUGUGCAAACACGAAAGUGGACGUAUACGGUGUGACGCCUGCCCGGUGCCGGAAGGUUAAUUGAUGGGGUUAGCGGUAACGCGAAGCUCUUGAUCGAAGCCCCGGUAAACGGCGGCCGUAACUAUAACGGUCCUAAGGUAGCGAAAUUCCUUGUCGGGUAAGUUCCGACCUGCACGAAUGGCGUAAUGAUGGCCAGGCUGUCUCCACCCGAGACUCAGUGAAAUUGAACUCGCUGUGAAGAUGCAGUGUACCCGCGGCAAGACGGAAAGACCCCGUGAACCUUUACUAUAGCUUGACACUGAACAUUGAGCCUUGAUGUGUAGGAUAGGUGGGAGGCUUUGAAGUGUGGACGCCAGUCUGCAUGGAGCCGACCUUGAAAUACCACCCUUUAAUGUUUGAUGUUCUAACGUUGGCCCGUAAUCCGGGUUGCGGACAGUGUCUGGUGGGUAGUUUGACUGGGGCGGUCUCCUCCUAAAGAGUAACGGAGGAGCACGAAGGUUGGCUAAUCCUGGUCGGACAUCAGGAGGUUAGUGCAAUGGCAUAAGCCAGCUUGACUGCGAGCGUGACGGCGCGAGCAGGUGCGAAAGCAGGUCAUAGUGAUCCGGUGGUUCUGAAUGGAAGGGCCAUCGCUCAACGGAUAAAAGGUACUCCGGGGAUAACAGGCUGAUACCGCCCAAGAGUUCAUAUCGACGGCGGUGUUUGGCACCUCGAUGUCGGCUCAUCACAUCCUGGGGCUGAAGUAGGUCCCAAGGGUAUGGCUGUUCGCCAUUUAAAGUGGUACGCGAGCUGGGUUUAGAACGUCGUGAGACAGUUCGGUCCCUAUCUGCCGUGGGCGCUGGAGAACUGAGGGGGGCUGCUCCUAGUACGAGAGGACCGGAGUGGACGCAUCACUGGUGUUCGGGUUGUCAUGCCAAUGGCACUGCCCGGUAGCUAAAUGCGGAAGAGAUAAGUGCUGAAAGCAUCUAAGCACGAAACUUGCCCCGAGAUGAGUUCUCCCUGACUCCUUGAGAGUCCUGAAGGAACGUUGAAGACGACGACGUUGAUAGGCCGGGUGUGUAAGCGCAGCGAUGCGUUGAGCUAACCGGUACUAAUGAACCGUGAGGCUUAACCUUACAACGCCGAAG
rnacentral:rRNA from 1 species